GUCAUGCCAAUGGCACUGCCCGGUAGCUAAAUGCGGAAGAGAUAAGUGCUGAAAGCAUCUAAGCACGAAACUUGCCCCGAGAUGAGUUCUCCCUGACUCCUUGAGAGUCCUGAAGGAACGUUGAAGACGACGACGUUGAUAGGCCGGGUGUGUAAGCGCAGCGAUGCGUUGAGCUAACCGGUACUAAUGAACCGUGAGGCUUAACCUUACAACGCCGAAG
rnacentral:rRNA from 2 species